AGUGAACGCUGGCGGUAGGCCUAACACAUGCAAGUCGAACGGCAGCACAGUAAGCGCUCGCUCUUACGGGUGGCGAGUGGCGGACGGGUGCGGACUAAGUCGGAAUCUACUUUUUCGUGGGGGAGAACGUAGGGAAGCAUACGCUAAUACCGCAAAAGCCCUACGGGUGAAAGCAGGGGAUCUUCGGACCUUGCGCGAUUGAAUGAGCCGAUGUCGGAUUAGCUAGUUGGCGGGGUAAAGGCCCACCAAGGCGACGAUCCGUAGCUGGUCUGAGAGGACGAUCAGCCACACUGGAACUGAGACACGGUCCAGACUCCUACGGGAGGCAGCAGUGGGGAAUAUUGGACAAUGGGCGCAAGCCUGAUCCAGCCAUACCGCGUGGGUGAAGAAGGCCUUCGGGUUGUAAAGCGCUUUUGUUGGGGAAGAAAAGCAGCUGGUUAAUACCUCGCUGUUCUGACGGUACCCAAAGAAUAAGCACCGGCUAACUUCGUG
rnacentral:rRNA from 1 species